rnacentral:rRNA from 1 species
AUUGAACGCUGGCGGCAUGCCUUACACAUGCAAGUCGAACGGUAGCACGGGAGCUUGCUCCUGGUGGCGAGUGGCGAACGGGUGAGUAAUAUAUCGGAACGUACCCAGUAGUGGGGGAUAACACUUCGAAAGAAGUGCUAAUACCGCAUACGAUCUACGGAUGAAAGCGGGGGAUCUUCGGACCUCGCGCUAUUGGAGCGGCCGAUAUCUGAUUAGCUAGUUGGUG